rnacentral:lncRNA from 1 species
GUCAGGCUCAAGCCUUUUCUGCUGUGCUGGAAGGUCAGGAGGUGUCCUUAACAGAAAGAAGAGACUAAACUCCUCUCUGCCCUGCACUCUUUCAGGGAGAGCUCUUCCCUAAAGCCCCGAGUGUGACCUGAAUACAAGAGAAACACGGACUUCAGGAUUUGGUGCUUGCAGGGCUGCUCCCAAGCUCUUGUCUGACCUGAGUGUGUUUGCCUCUGCACGCUGCUUGUAGGACCAAGCCCUGCUGUGCUGCAGAGUCACCUCUGCUCCUCCUGGAGCCAGAGGCAGCUCAGGGUAAUCAGCACAUGCAGAAAUACGCUCUGACUGUGGAAGCCUGGUAAGAGCGCAGUUUAAUUUCACUGUGGUAUGCAGCACUCCAAGAAAACUCCCAGACUCAGUUCUUUUCCUUCAAGCACAAUCCCUUAUCAAGGUCCUUGGCAGCAAUUCACAUACAGAAAGGAGCAGCUGUCAUGGUAUUCCCACAUACAAACACAAAAAAACAACCCCUCCCUGCUUUCAGUGCAGCAAUGUUACGUAGUAUGAAUAAUUACAAUAUUUAACACUUGUAUCUGUGCUUUUAAUCUUCAAAGCACUUAACGAGCACUAGGUACAGGUAAUUGUAGCUGCAGAGUGAUGUGACUGUCUGCAAGAAGAGAAGAAUUGGGUGCAUGAGUGCUCCAGUGGUCCUGUGCAGGGUGGGCACAGAGCAAAUGGGGCAGUAAAGGCCCAAUGACAUGAAAUCCCUUGGCUGUCAGGGUUGAUUUUUUCCUUUGAAUGGUGGCUAUCCCUCUGCCACAGGUCAGUGACUUCUCAGGUCUGUUGGUGGAAUCACUCACCUUCUGGUUUCCCAACCCACCUUAGUCCCAAUGAACUUGGUUAGGAAAGACCUAUAUAGCAAACCAUGUUUGCUGACCUGGCGUGUUCUCACGUCAGGAUGAGAGAGUGCUUGGAUGAGCAGCUCAGCCAUCAAACCUGGGAAAAUGGAACUCCUGGCAGAAAAGAAGAUGACUGUGGAGGGAAGGUGACUGGGACUUGCAGGAGGCCUAUAGGAGGCUGGCAAUGGUGGCAGCUGGCACAGGAGAUAACAGCUGAAAAUGUUAAACAAACCAGAGCUCUGUCAAGACCCUGCUAGACAAUUCAUCCAAACACAUCAUCUUACAACUCUGAUAAAAGGAUCUGUUGGAUUUUCUUUUAGAUGAGAUAGUUCAUUUGUAUUUGCUGCAUGUUAAUGUGAGUGGGAAGCAUUGAGAUCUAAACAAGUUAGAUGAAUCAUUCCAAUAAAGCUAUUUUCAAGAAAGAGCA